AUAUGCUUGUCUCAAAGACUAAGCCAUGCAUGUCGAGUUCACACCCUUGUACGGUGAAACCGCGAAUGGAUCAUUAAAUCAGCUAUGAUUUCUUAGAUCUUACACAAUUACUUGGAUAACUGUAGUAAUUCUAGAGCUAAUACAUGCCCAACAGGCCGUGUUCUUCCGAGCGCGGUGGGUUUAUCAGUUCAAAAUCAACCAGCUCGUAAGGGCUGUGGGUUUGAUGACUCUGGAUAACUUCCCUGAUCGCAUGGCCAUGUGCUUCAAGUGUCUACCUAUCAACUUUCGAUGGUAGGUGCUAUGCCUACCAUGGUAUUACGGGUANACGGGGGAUCAGGGUCUGAUUCCGGAGAGGGAGCCUUAGAAAUGGCUACCACCUCUAAGGAAGGCAGCAGGCGCNGCAACUUACCCACUUGCAGUGUCAAGCAGAGGUAGU
rnacentral:rRNA from 1 species